rnacentral:rRNA from 1 species
AGCCAGACUCCUACGGGAGGCAGCAGUGGGGAAUAUUGCACAAUGGGGGAAACCCUGAUGCAGCGACGCCGCGUGAGCGAAGAAGUAUUUCGGUAUGUAAAGCUCUAUCAGCAGGGAAGAAAUUGACGGUACCUGAGUAAGAAGCUCCGGCUAAAUACGUGCCAGCAGCCGCGGUAAUACGUAUGGAGCAAGCGUUAUCCGGAUUUACUGGGUGUAAAGGGGGCGCAGACGGCGAUGCAAGCCAGGAGUGAAAGCCCGGGGCCCAACCCCGGGACUGCUCUUGGAACUGCGUGGCUGGAGUGCAGGAGGGGCAGGCGGAAUUCCUGGUGUAGCGGUGAAAUGCGUAGAUAUCAGGAGGAACACCGGCGGCGAAGGCGGCCUGCUGGACCGCUACUGACGUUGAGGCUCGAAAGCGUGGGGAGUGAACAGGAUUAGAUACCCUUGUA